AACGAACGCUGGCGGCGUGCUUAACACAUGCAAGUCGAACGCACCGCAAGGUGAGUGGCGCACGGGUGAGUAACGCGUGGGAAUCUACCUUUUGGUUCGGAAUAACACAGGGAAACUGGUGCUAAAACCGGAUACGCCCUUCGGGGGAAAAAUUUAUUGCCAAAAGAUGAGCCCGCGUUGGAUUAGCUAGUUGGUGAGGUAAUGGCUCACCAAGGCGACGAUCCAUAGCUGGUCUGAGAGGAUGAUCAGCCACACUGGGACUGAGACACGGCCCAGACUCCUACGGGAGGCAGCAGUGGGGAAUAUUGGACAAUGGGGGAAACCCUGAUCCAGCAACGCCGCGUGAGUGAUGAAGGUCUUCGGAUUGUAAAGCUCUUUUGGCAGGGACGAUGAUGACGGUACCUGCAGAAUAAGCUCCGGCUAACUUCGUGCCAGCCGCCGCUGUAA
rnacentral:rRNA from 1 species